CCCUUAGAUGUCCUGGGCUGCACGCGCGCUACACUGAUGUAUUCAACAAGUGUUACCUUGACCGAGAGGCCUAGGAAAUCUUUUAAAAGUGCAUCGUGAUAGGAAUAGAUUAUUGCAAUUUUUAAUCUUGAACGAGGAAUUCCUAGUAAACGCAGAUCAUCAAUCUGCAUUGAUUACGUCCCUGCCCUUUGUACACACCGCCCGUCGCACCUACCGAUUGAAUGGUCCGGUGAAGCCGCGGGAUUGUAGCAAUCUACCUUUAUUGGUGGUUUGUUGCAAGAACUUGUCUAAACCUUAUCAUUUAGAGGAAGGUGAAGUCGUAACA
rnacentral:rRNA from 1 species